GUGCCAGCAGCCGCGGUAAUACCGGCAGCCCGAGUGAUGGCCGAUAUUAUUGGGCCUAAAGCGUUCGUAGCCGGCCAGACAAGUCUGUUGGGAAAUCCACGCGCUCAACGCGUGGGCGUCCAGCGGAAACUGUCUGGCUUGGGGCCGGAGGACUCGAGGGGUACGUCCGGGGUAGGAGUGAAAUCCUGUAAUCCUGGACGGACCGCCGAUGGCGAAAGCACGUCGCGAGAACGGAUCCGACAGUGAGGGACGAAAGCUAGGGUCUCGAACCGGAUUAGAUACCCUUGUAGUCC
rnacentral:rRNA from 1 species